AUGUGCCAUACUCUAGUCAUGCAGAAUUGAACGCGGAAGGUAGGCUCGUUGAAUAUACAAGCAUAAUUUCUCUGGUAAAUAUCAUAGACCUGUCAUGCAACAAUCUAUCAGGAGUGAUGCCAGAGGAGAUAACAAAUCUCUCAACUUUGGUGACCCUGAAUUUGUCCUGGAACCAGCUAACUGGUAUGAUACCAGAGAAUAUUGGAAGCUUGAAGCAGUUAGAAGAUCCUGACCUCUCAUCUAACCACCAUUCUGGCUUAUUCCUCCGAGCAUGACUUCGUUGACUUUUUUGAAAAACCUGAAUCUGUCGUUCAACAAUUUGUCCGGACAAUUCCAUCCACCAAUCAGUUCCAUACCUUCAAUGAUCCAUCAAUUUACGAGGGUAACCCAUAUCUUUGUGGACCUCCAUUGCCAAUCAUGUGUGACAUCACCAACAAUGGGAAAGCUGGAUUCAACAGUUACAAAGCGAAAGGUGAAGAUGAUCCUGAAAAUCUAUGGUUUUACAUGGGCAUUGGAUCAGGAUUUAUAGUGGGAUUUUGGGAUGUUUGUGGAAGCUUGGCCAUCAAGAAGUCUUGGAGACAUGCCUAUUUCAAAUUUCUUUAUGGAGUGGAAGAAAAGCUAUUUAUGUUCAUUACACACAGCUCACUGGCAAUUAAAAUGAAGAUGGCAAGAAACUAGGAGGCAAAGAACCAUAGAGAACGCGAAUCAUAUGGAUGAUCAAGCUUGAGAGGAAAGAACGUGAACUAAAAGGAAGGCAAAUCAUUCCUCGCUAGGUUGUUUGUGUGUACUUCCGGCGACAUUUCUAUUGGUUGUAUUUUGUCUUACUGGUCAUGAUGUUGAGUGCAACUUGUUCGAGGGGGGUGGAACUGUGAUGGAAGAGUCGUGAAUAAACUGGAGCAUUUCGUUGCAUUUGUGCUACUAUGUAUACACAAAAUUGCUGUACUGGGAGCUGAUACAAAUCUGUAAUAUAUGUAA